rnacentral:rRNA from 1 species
AUGUUGUCUGGGUCGUCUUCAUCGUACCAGCCGCCGCCAUCUUCACUGUACCCGUCCGGCGCGCCGUCCUGGGAUCAUGCAGCUCUGUUCCAGCACGCCUACAGCCAGCAGGGCCUCCCUCCUCAUGGUGCUGACUGGAUCCUCGACUCUGGUGCCGCCACGCACGUCACCGGCAACCCUGGUAACCUCUCCUAUUUUCAUUUGUUUCCAAAGCAUUCUUCUUCAAGUAUCAUCGUCGGCAAUGGUGAUCGUCUUCCUAUCAUUGGCAUGGGCUCCACAUCCUCCCUCCCACUAAUCUCUCCCUUCGGGAUGUCGUUGUUUCCCCACGCAUUGACUCCCAUCAUGACGUCCAGUAGCCCCGGUCCUCUCUACCUGUUCUACGGUCAGCAGUCCAUUGGUGGCGCCACUUUCUUCACAUCCUCCGGCGAUUUAUGGCAUCGACGCCUUGGCCAUCCGGGCAAGGCCACCCUAGAUGCUCUCUCCAAGGAUUUCCUUUCCGAUUGUGCACACGGCACGCAGAACAGUACAGGACCGGCGCUGCUGCUUCUCGUAGACGCCCUGGACGGCGAUCGAGCCAGUGGCAGUGUGGAGUAUAUAUCUAUAGAGAUACUAAGCUCCCAUGAUUUGAAGCGUUGUGGUGCAUCAGGAGUUAUGGGCUCGGUGAGGGCCCCACUUUAUGGAAUGGAAGCUCUUAAGAGGCUCAGUCGACCACCACCAACUGACACCAAGGCCGAAACGUAUAGAGUAGACACUUACACCAAGAGACGGCUCGCGUGGAUGGACUCGCAGGUCGCUGUUACUACCAGCACGACUGCUGCUCUAGCUGUGGACAUACACCGAGCGAGCGAGCGAAGCCUCCAGGUCCCUUCGCCGUUGCCCUCGCACAUCAAGUCGCCGCCCUCGCCCUCGCCCUCGCAGCCGCCGCCGAUCCCCUCCCCCAUCUUCCUCCCUCAAAAGCUAACCCGUCUCGCGGUGCGCCACCGCCCGUCGCUGCCGCCCCCGCCACCUCCCGUCGCGGGUAGGCGGGAGGAGCCCUGCCCGGCCAUGGAGACACUGCCGGCGGCCUCCUCCUCCCCCUCACCUUCUCUCCCUUUCCCAAUGGAGGGAAGGGAAUGGAAGGGAUCCGGCGGCAAGGGGGGGCAGCGCCCAGAUCCGCGGCCGCACCGGCGGGCCGCCGUCCCUCGAGAUCGUGCAUGGAGGUCCGACGCCUACCUCCAAGGAAAGGACGCGCGCCAGCUGCAGGCCAUCUCCGGCGACCUCCGACCAUGGUGCGCGCGCCUCCUUCCCUUGUCUUGUUGCUCGGAUCUGGACCAGCUGCUGCUCCUACUGCUUCAGGUGGACGAGGACGAGCCCUCCCUCAUGGAUGUUGCGGCUGCCUACUCCCUCCUCCUACCCCCUGGCCUGGUGUGGUUUAGUGUGUGCGACCCUGUUAACAUAGGAGUCAGGCCGAGCGAUUUUGAUAGAAAUUUCAAGUGUAUCGGAUCACCAGUCGAUGAGUAUAUUGAGGAGGAUACAAGUAAUGGAGCAUAUUUUUCACCAUUCCCAUAUGGCUAUGUCCUAUCCUACCUUCUUGAUGAUGCUUCUGUUAAGUUCAUGCAAAGUUCAUGCAGUAAGACAAAUAUUGUGUUUUUACCAGGUGUCCAGGUAUUGUUUGGUUGCCAGCAAACAGAUGGUUGGCAGAUUUCUCACAGUUUGGGUAACAGUUCACACCGCCGAUGUUGUGAGGACUGGCAGCUCUUCAGUUCAUGCUGCCAAUGUUGUGAGGACUGGCAGGACUUCAAUGGGCGCGGAGGCUGCAACCUAGGGCGAGGGCGUCGGUGCGUUGAGAUGGUGGGGCCACGUCAGUGGGAGGACGUGAGGCGGCGAUGUCCACCCAGAUCUAUAGCCGCAACAGAAGAACAACUCAGAGAGGACGUGCAGCUCCUGCUAUCAGUGACCAUCCAUAUAGCUCAUCAAGUCAUCUUCAGAUCACUAGCCCUAAUGGUGUCAAGCUCAAGGAUAUCUAGGAGCACUCGAACCUCCUGCAUGACGAAGUCACUCGAUGAGGAUGUGCUUACCCAGGAGAAUGAACCUAUUGAUGCUCCCCUUGCAGCCGGAAGUAUCUUGAAAGCUGGUAAAGUGGUGUGCGAAAACCUCAUACAUGAGCAUAUCCGCGAUGCAAGGAGCUUUUGUGAUGACUCGGAGGAGAGUAUGCCUAAGCCAAUGGCCAGACAUCGGCUGUUCGGAUCCACCCUUAAGCCGAGGCACAAGUCCAUUGCGGUUGAUUAUUGUUUGGGGAUUCAGUUUCAUGUUGGAAUUUUCAAGAGCCCACUGAGAGCCUAUUUGAUGUCCGAACAUGCCCGGGCGUACGAGGGAGAAAUGAGCGCCGACCUUGGGGACAAUCUUAAUCAUUUGUUUGAUUCAUUUGUCUCGCUUGAAUUUGUGGACCAACUGGUGGACAUAGUUCAGUUUUCACAGAGUAUCAGAGAGAUGAAGAUGGAUUACGAUAUUCAAAAAGAAUUCAUCGACAAGGGUGUUCAGGCUAUGUUGUUGAAAUGGGCCAAAAAUUCACUAAGUUUUAUACAACAGAAGGCCCGUGCUAGCGACCACCUAGACUGUUUGCUCCAUAAAGCACGUCUGCACAUAUAUUUUGUACUGUUAGUCUUUCAUUCUCUUGUAGCCGCAAAUAACAUUUCAUUAGAGAUGACUUUGCAGCAAAUUGCAAAUCGCGCAAAUCAAGCCAUCGCCGCCUCGUCGCUCUCGCCGGGAGCAACAACAACCGCCGGUCUCUUCUUAGCCGACAUCUCCUCCAUCCGGAUGCCCUGCGGCACGAGCCACUCCGCCACCGCCUGGGACUCGACCUCCGGGAAGUUUAGCCACCGACGAUGCCCGGCGUCGGAGAACUCCAGUCCGAAGUUCCCGGAGGGCUUCGCCCUCAUGCCGAAGAAACCGGACUUGCCCUUCGGCGUCUUCUUCGGCGCCAUCGGGGAGCGGGCGGCGGCCGAGCGGGGAGCGGGGCGGAGGCGGACGGAGCGGGGCGGUGGACAGACCGGAGAGGAGGCGGACGGAGCGGGGCCGGGCGGAGGAUGGACCGGAGGCGGAGGCGGACGGAGAGAAGGCGGGCGGGAGGAGGCGGGCGGGGUCGGGGCGGGGCGGAGGCGGCCGGAGCGGAGGCGAACGCGAUGGGGCAGCGCGGCGGCAGGCGGCGGCCUAGGCGGGGUGGAAUCAAUGGCGGUGGUCUGGAUCUACGGCGGGGCGAGCCCUUGA